rnacentral:misc_RNA from 1 species
UUUGUUCCACUGGAGAGUACUCUUGUGUCAUGGAGCAACUGGCUUUUAUAUAUCACCCUAAUAAUAUCAAGUAAAUUUAUUGGACUAAAUGCAGUUUGUAUGUGCUGCCCUGCCCUGAUCAAUUUAAAUAAUAGACAGUGCGUUUCCCUCAAAAUAUAUGUGUGAUGGAGCAACUGCCUUUUAUUUAUCACCCUAAUAAUAUCAUGUAUUUUUAUUGGACUAAAUGCAGUUUGUAUGUGCUGCCCUGCUCUGGUCAAAUUAAAUAAUAGACAAAGCGUUUCCCUCAAAAUAUAGGCAGUACAUUCAGCCUUUGUUUUUAUUUGGUUCAUUAAGUUGCACGGAAAUUCGAAUCACUGAUACAUUUUGUUCAUGUCUUUAUUAUAGCGUACCAAGAGUGGUUGACUA